AGAUUGGUAGCUGUAAGGAAUUGUCUCGCACACGGGCUGCAACUAUCA
rnacentral:ncRNA from 1 species